GUCUACAGCAUGCCACCCUGAACAUGCUCGAUCUAGUCUGAUCUUGGAAGCAAAGCAGGGUUGGGCCUGGUCAGUACUUGUUUGGGAGACCACCUAGGAAUACCAGGUGCUGUAGGCG
rnacentral:rRNA from 1 species